rnacentral:rRNA from 1 species
UUACCACACCGAUCCACGAUCUCCCCUAUUGCGAAGCUAGGCACGGGUUAUUGGAGUGUUUUGACGCGGUACCACGUGCCGCUAGUUCCUUUGGCCUUGCCGAGUUAUCUAACCAAACCUUGGGUUUUGAGUCUGAUUGUUUUUGAAAGAAGAUUUUCGGACUUGAUGCCCUCCCCAUACGAAACCGAUUGUAAUGAACGUGAAUGAAAGAUGGACGUGGCCGUGUGCAUGAUGUUAAUCAUGUGAUUUUGGCCCGUCUAUCACUAAAGUAAUGUAACUUACAACUUUCAGCAACGGAUGUCUAGGUUCCCACAACGAUGAAGAACGCAGCGAAAUGCGAUACGUAAUGCGAAUUGCAAUUUCUCGUGAAUCAUCAAAAUUUUGAACGCACAUUGCGCUUCCGGGAUAUGCCCGGUAGCAUGCUUAUCUGAGUGUCCGCGAACCCCACUCAGCCUUAUUACUGUGUGAUGAGAGCUGGACUGUGGCACUGCACCGGUUUGAGUACUGGUGCUGUGUUGGAAUGCGUGACGUUUUCUGCGUGGCGAGGCUAUUGGUUGUGUCUCGUGCUGUAUUGUGCAGUCGUCUCUGGUAGAGGCACUUUACGUGCAUUCGAAAGGAGAGUUAUCUGUGUAAUACGUGCACUUUGAGUCAUGUACUGUAGUCGCACGAAUGGAAAUGGAAACUCUGUUUUCUGUUCUGUGUGCGU